ACUAGUUUCUUCUAGACUCUGGAGUUAUCUGUGCACUGAGUUAUUUCUGCUUGAGUUUAGCUGCAGAGCUUAAUUGUUUCUCGUUACUGCAGAGCUUUUAAGAUCAAACAACUAUCAAUCCUACUGCAAUGGAUGAGCUCAUUUAUUCCCUUCAGGGUGACAGCUGAUCGCAGGAGACCAUCAUUGAGGAGCAAGAAAUGGAUCAGCCACUAAGUAGUGGAUUCAAGACCAGUAUGGACACAGUAGGCAAUAGCGGACAGCCCUGAUGCAUUCUCUGAACUUGAGCUCUUAUCUGACCUUCUAAACCAUAGACCUGAUGUCGAAUUCUUAUUUUGGAUUACAAUUCAUUAAUGGGCUAGCAUGCAAUUUCCUGGAUUUUGAAAAGGUGGAUUUAAUGUCUACCUCUGAAUAAUGUCAGUUUCAAGAUUGUAUGCCGAGGAUGAAAUACAGUAGACAUCAAGACAGCAUGACAUUGUGUU